UACGGGGGGAGCAAGCGUUGUUCGGAUUUACUGGGCGUAAAGGGCGCGUAGGCGGCCAGCACAAGUCAGUUGUGAAAUCUCCGGGCUUAACUCGGAAAGGUCAACUGAUACUGUGCGGCUAGAGUGCAGAAGGGGCAACUGGAAUUCUCGGUGUAGCGGUGAAAUGCGUAGAUAUCGAGAGGAACACCUGUGGCGAAGGCGCCUUGCUGGCCGACUUCUGACGCUGAGGCGCGAAAGCGUGGGGAGCAAACAGG
rnacentral:rRNA from 1 species